CUGAGGCGCGAAAGCGUGGGGAGCGAUCCGGAUUAGAUACCCGGGUAGUCCACGCCGUAAACGAUGGGCACUAGGUGUCGGGGGUAUCGACCCCCUCGGUGCCGGCGCUAACGCAAUAAGUGCCCCGCCUGGGGAGUACGGCCGCAAGGCUGAAACUCAAAGGAAUUGACGGGGGCCCGCACAAGCGGUGGAGCAUGUGGUUUAAUUCGAAGCAACGCGAAGAACCUUACCAGGUCUUGACAUCCUCUGACACUCCUAGAGAUAGGACUUUCCCCUUCGGGGGACAGAGUGACAGGUGGUGCAUGGUUGUCGUCAGCUCGUGUCGUGAGAUGUUGGGUUAAGUCCCGCAACGAGCGCAACCCUUGAUCUUAGUUGCCAGCAUUAGGUUGGGCACUCUAAGGUGACUGCCGGUGACAAACCGGAGGAAGGUGGGGAUGACGUCAAAUCAUCAUGCCCCUUAUGACCUGGGCUACACACGUGCUACAAUGGAUGGUACAAAGGGCAGCAAAACCGCGAGGUCGAGCCAAUCCCAUAAAACCAUUCUCAGUUCG
rnacentral:rRNA from 1 species